AACGAACGCUGGCGGCAUGCCUUACACAUGCAAGUCGAACGGCAGCACGGGGGCAACCCUGGUGGCGAGUGGCGAACGGGUGAGUAAUAUAUCGGAACGUACCCUGGAGUGGGGGAUAACGUAGCGAAAGUUACGCUAAUACCGCAUACGAUCUAAGGAUGAAAGUGGGGGAUCGCAAGACCUCAUGCUCCUGGAGCGGCCGAUAUCUGAUUAGCUAGUUGGUGGGGUAAAGGCCUACCAAGGCAUCGAUCAGUAGCUGGUCUGAGAGGACGACCAGCCACACUGGGACUGAGACACGGCCCAGACUCCUACGGGAGGCAGCAGUGGGGGAAUUUUGGGACAAAUGGGGGGCAACCCUGAUCCAGCAAUGCCGCGUGAGUGAAGAAGGCCUCGGUUGUAAGUACUCUUUGUCUAGGGAAGAAACGGUUAGAGGCGUAAUAU
rnacentral:rRNA from 1 species